CCAACUCCCAACCUCAGAAGAUCCACCCGCUUUAGCUUCCCAAAGUGCUGGGAUUACAGGCAUGAGCCACUAUGCCCAGCUAAAGCCGGUGUAUUCUUGAUACCAAAUCCCAACAGCACAUAUGAGAAUGGAGAAUUUUCAGCCAAUCUCACUCAAGAACAUAAAUACAAAAAUUCUAAGUCCAAUGUCAAGAAAACUAAAUCCAACAGUAUUAAGAAGAUAAAAUACUCUGUUCCUCUUUUCCUGCCUUGUUUUAGAUUGAUCAAAUAUUUGUCAGUAUUCCACUUUAUUUCCUCUAUUGGCUUUUUAGCUGUACUUUGAGUGGUGCUGUAGGGAUUACAAUAUGCAUCCUUAAUUUAUUACACUUUACUUAGAAUUAAUAUUGAACAGCUUUACACUUCACAAAUAAAAGGAUCUAAUAGCAGUGUAAUUCCAUCCCCCUCCUCUUCCUCAUUUGUGCUGUAGCGGUGGGUGUUUUAUAUUUUACUUCUGUAUUUGUUUCAAACUCUUUCUUAAAACAGUGAUAUUAUUUUUUGCUGUAAGCAACCUUCUUUUUUUUUUUUUUUUUCCGAGACAGGGUCUUACUGUGUUUCCCAGGGAAACAUACUUACCUGACUAGUGUGCAUAAUAGCCUUUAUAGUAAAAAUACCCCUAUACGGCCUACACUUGUGACUUCCUAAGGCCCAUGUUGAAGCCCCCAUUGCCGGAUCAAUAGUUCUCACCGCAGUACUCCUAAAACUAGGUGGCUACGGCAUAAUACGACUAACCACUAUUCUCAACCCUUUGACAGAGUAUAGCCUGCCCAUUUCUCAUGCUAUCCCUAUGAGGCGUGAUCAUAACAAGCCUAACCUGUCUUCGACAGACAGACCUAAAAUCACUCAUCGCAUACUCCUCCGUAAGCCACAUGGCCCUAGUAAUCAUAGCCUCCCUCAUUCAAACCCCCUGAAGCUUCACUGGUUCAAUUACCCUUAUAAUUGCCCAUGGACUCACUUCAUCCAUAUUGUUUUGUCUAACAAACUCAAACUAUGAACGACCCCACAGCUGCAUUAUAAUACUUUCUCGAGGACUCCAAACCCUACUCCCACUAAUAACCUUCUGAUGAUUUGUGGCAAACCUUGCUAACCUAGCCUUACCCCCUACUGUUAACCUAACAGGAGAACUCCUUGUAAUAACAACUUCAUUCUCCUGAUCAUGCAUUACCAUUAUGCUUACAGGACUUAAUAUACUAAUCACAGCCCUCUAUUCCCUCUAUAUAUUUGCCACAACACAAUGAGGAAUACUUACACAUCAUAUUAUCAACAUAAAACCCUCCUGUACAUGAGAGAAUACAUUAAUAUUUAUGCACCUCUCCCCUAUUCUCCUCCUAUCCUUUAACCCUAACAUUAUCCUAGGUUUUACCUCUUGUAAAUAUAGCUUAACUAAAACAUUAGAUUGUGAAUCUAACCAUAGAAAUCCACCACUUCUUAUUUACCAAGAAAGCUCGCAAGGACUGCUAACCCAUGCCUCCAUUUUUAACAAAAUGGCUUUCCCAACUUUUAAAGGAUAACAGUUAUCCAUUGGUCUUAGGAACCAAACACAUUGGUGUAAUUCCAAAUAAAAGUAACAACCAUGUAUACCUCCAUUACCAUAAUAACCCUAACCUCCCUAAUUCUCCCAAUUACUAUUACUUUUAUUAAUCCCAACAAAAAGCACUUAUAUCCAAACUAUGUAAAAACAAUUAUAAUAUAUACUUUUAUCAUUAGCCUCAUUCCCACAACUCUGUACGUCUUCCUGGAUCAAGAAGCAAUUAUUUCAAACUGACAUUGAAUAACAAUCCAAACAUUAGAACUAACACUAAGCUUCAAAUUAGACUACUUUUCCAUAAUAUUUACCCCAGUUGCACUAUUCAUUACUUGGUCUAUUAGAGAGUUCUCAUUAUGAUAUAUAAGUCCAGACCCAAAUAUCAACCAAUUCUUUUAAGUAUCUUCUUACUUUUCUCACUACUAUGCUGAUUCUGGUUACCGCCAAUAACCUCUUCCAACUUUUCAUUGGAUGAGAGGGUGUCGGGAUUAUCUCCUUCCUACUAAUUGGCUGAUGGCACGCCCGAACAGAAGCCAACACAGCAGCCAUCCGAGCAAUCUUAUAUAACUGCACUGGCGACAUUGGCCUUAUCUUGAGCAUAACAUGAUCCCUCCUACGUUAUAACUCAUGAGAUUUUCAACAAAUACCCUAAACUCCAGCCCAAAUCUUCUCCCAUCAAUAGGCCUUCUCCUGGCAGCAACAGGAAAAUCAGCUCAACUUGGCCUUCACCCUUGACUACCCUCCGCCAUAGAAGGCCCGACCCCAGUAUCAGCUCUACUCCACUCCAGCACCAUAGUCGUUGCCGGAGUUUUCCUACUCAUCCACUUUCACCCUCUAAUGGAAAACAAUACACUAAUCCAAAGCCUUACACUAUGCCUAGGGGCCAUCACCACCAUAUUUACAGCAAUUUGUGCCCUAACACAGAAUGAUAUUAAAAAAAUCGUAGCCUUCUCCACCUCAAGUCAACUAGGCCUUGUAAUAGUUACUAUCGGCAUCAAUCAACCAUACUUAGCAUUUCUACAUAUCUGUACUCAUGCCUUCUUUAAAUCUAUACUAUUUAUCUGCUCCGGAUCUAUUAUCCACAACCUAAAUAAUGAACAAGAUAUUCAAAAAAUGGGGGGGUUGUUUAAAACAAUGCCCCUCACCUCAACCUCCCUAACCAUCGGCAACCUAGCACUCACAGGCAUACCUUUCCUUACAGGUUUUUACACCAAAGACCUUAUUAUCGAAACCGCAAACAUGUCAUAUACCAACGCCUGAGCCCUAUCUAUUACUCUCAUUGCCACAUCCCUAACAAGCGCCUACAGUACUCGAACUAUUCUUCUCACCCUAACAGGACAACCUCGUUUCCCAGCCUCAAUUAACAUUAACGAAAAUUCUCCUACACUAUUAAACCCAACCAAACGCCUCACAAUCGGCAGUCUACUCGCAGGAUUUCUCAUCACUAAUAAUAUUCCUCCUACCUCACUUCCCCAAUUAACAAUACCCUACCACCUAAAACUCUCAGCCCUAUACAUAACCGCCCUAGGCUUUCUAGUAGCCCUAGACCUUACUCUCAUAACUAACAAGCUUAAAAUAAAUAUACCAUCACACAUAUUUGAAUUCUCUAAUAUACUAGGAUACUUUCCCACUACAAUUCACCGCAUAAUCCCCUACCAAAACCUACUUAUAAGUCAAAACCUAGCUCCCUUCUACUAGACUCAAUCUGACUAGAAAAAUCUAUGCCUAAAACAAUCUCACAUGUCCACACUAUUACCUCCAUCAUCACAACCACCCAGAAAGGUAUAAUAAAAUUUUACUUUCUAUCCUUCCUUAUUCCCCUUAUCCUAACUCUAUUCCUAAUAACAUAACCUAUUGCCCCAAGUAAUCUCAAUAACAAUAUACACACCAACAAAUAACGUUCAACCAGCAACCACCACUAAUCAAUGCCCAUAAUCAUAUAAAGCACCCGCACCAAUAGAAUCCCCUCGAACUAACCCGGACCCCUCUCCCUCAAAAACCGCCCAAUUUCCCGUAUUAUUAAAAUUUACUACUACCACUACCCCAUCAAAAUCUAAAACUCAUAAAACCAACCCCGCCUCCAUCACCAACCCUACCAAAAGACUCCCUAAAACCUCAAACCAUGAACCCCAUGCUUCAGGAUACUCCUCAAUAGCCAUCACCGUAGUAUAACCAAAAACAACCAUCAUCCCUCCCAAAUAAAUUAAAAACAUCAUUAAACCCAUAUAA